rnacentral:tRNA from 1 species
GUCUUUCUAGUAUUAACAAAUACAAGUGGCUUCCAACCAUUUAAUCCUAGUUAAAAUCCAGGGAAAGAUA